GAUGAACGCUGGCGGCGUGCCUAAUACAUGCCAGUCGAGCGAACAGAUGAGGAGCUUGCUCCUCUGACGUUAGCGGCGGACGGGUGAGUAACACGUGGAUAACCUACCUAUAAGACUGGGAUAACUUCGGGAAACCGGAGCUAAUACCGGAUAAUAUAUUGAACCGCAUGGUUCAAUAGUGAAAGACGGUUUUGCUGUCACUUAUAGAUGGAUCCGCGCCGCAUUAGCUAGUUGGUAAGGUAACGGCUUACCAAGGCAACGAUGCGUAGCCGACCUGAGAGGGUGAUCGGCCACACUGGAACUGAGACACGGUCCAGACUCCUACGGGAGGCAGCAGUAGGGAAUCUUCCGCAAUGGGCGAAAGCCUGACGGAGCAACGCCGCGUGAGGGAUGAAGUUCUUCGGAUCGUAAAACUCUGUUAUUAAGGAAGAACAAAUGUGUAAGUAACUAUGCACGUCUUGACGGUACCUAAUCAGAAAGCCACGGCUAACUACGUG
rnacentral:rRNA from 1 species